UACAGAGGAGCCAAGCGUUGUCCGGAUUGACUGGGCGUAAAGCGCACGCAGGCGGGUGCGCGCGUGGGGUGUGAAAUCUGGCCGCUUAACGGCCAGGCGCCAUCCCAUACGGCGCGUCUGGAGCCUUGCAGAGGUCGGUGGAAUUGCCGGUGUAGUGGUGAAAUGCGUAGAGAUCGGCAGGAACACCCAGGGGAAACCGAGCCGACU
rnacentral:rRNA from 1 species